AUGUUUUCUUGUCGGCUGCAAGAUGAAAUUCACAGUGCUGACUCUCUCCACAUGGACGCACCUUUAGAGAGAAAUACAACCUUCACAGAUUACCAUAUGCAAAAUGUGAAUUAUUAUUCAUAUUCAAGUGUUUGUGCGAAAAUUAUUAAUGCGCAUGCAGGACAGGGAGGCGCCCUCUUGAUCACUUGAAAUUUUUCUUGAUUAUGAAUUAACUUAAAAUUGUGGCGUCUCACAUACAUGAUAAAUAUAUCUACAGAAAGCUCAUCACUCAAGAUAUUGAUUCAAAUGAUUUUAUACCAAGAUUAGAUUUUCCAUGGGUAAGUUCUAGGUACCUGCUCCUUUGUAAAUCAGCCAGCCCCCAGACACACUUUCAAGUUUUGGACAAAGAUCUUUGAGAGUUGAACAUACCUUCAAGAGUAAUAUAAAUCAUACCAUCAUAUUGACAAAAGAACAUUGGUUUUGAUAGUGGACUAUAUUAAAAUAUUAUAUGACAAAAAAAAUGUUGCCUCACCUCAUCAUGGGUGUAGUUCCCUGGUAUCAGCGUGGACCUGCGUCCCAAACCAGCUUGCAGAUGGAAAACUUCUUCACUGCCUUUGGGAGUGUGCUCAACAAUCUUGGGUAAGAGAUAAAAUGUAACUUCUAUCUCUUUGACUGGUGUGAAGUGGUUGGAAGGCCCUUGAACACGCCAGCGCUUUCCACUGGCUCCAAAAAGGGCAGGAAAAGACCUGUGAUGAUAAUUUUUUAAUUUGAUAUUACACAAUACAAGUAUAUCUCACUAGCUAUAGUUUGAGAAUUUAAAUUGAUUAAUGUAAGGGACGAGUCAGUCUGACAAAGAAACCAAAUAUAGUGAAGGACCUUGUCAUUUCUGUGUGGACACUGGGUCGGCCAUCUCUCCCUCUUUCCUGACUCCUUUCCUGUCUGCUAGAAUGACAUGCCGUGUUCAGAAGAUGCAUCACAUUAUUUUAUACAUGUUAAUCUCUGUGUGUGUGUUAUUUGUUGGGAAACUAGACAACACCUUGGAGUCUCUGGGCAAGUUUGAUGUUGGGCACUGGGUCCAACAGGACCAGGGGAAGGUAUUGCAUUUGUGAACAAAUUUAGGAGCUGUCUUCCUGAAUUGACUACUUCUGAGUUGUCUCCCUGUCAAAAGUAUAAAAAUUGAGCAGUAGGUUGGAAAAGCUAUCCAAUACAUUAACUUAAUAACCCAUAAAACAAUAUAAAUAACUUAACCCUCUGGAGUCUAAGGGUAUUUUUGGGGCCUGAAGAAGUUUUGUCAUGCCCUGACAUUUGUGCCUUUUUCAGUUUCUUAUAAAUAUCUAAAUGGCUAAAGUUUAAUCUCACUGUAAUCAGCACAAACUAGGCUAUAAUAAUAUGUGAGCAGCAUGUAUGUACAUGAUUGUGUUUUUGAGAAAAAAAAUGUUAUGCGUGGUUAGUGAAAAACUAAAAAUGUUAAAUCACUUGAAUAAGGCAAUAAAACACAUACAGAAAAUUGGUUCCCGGGACUUUUUGAGAACUGGAGCUUG
ensembl:lncRNA